ACCUGGCAGAGUCCGGAGUGCUGGCAUUCCAGAUGGCUUGCUGACUGAGGGAUGAACUAUGCUUUGGAAGCUAAGCAUUACAAAGGGAUAACAGGAUCAACUGGAAGCUUACCUCCCAGAAUGAGAGAAAUGUUUAUCACAUAAAGGCAAAAUGGAAGGAGUCAAAGGAGGAAAGCUACAUUUGGAAACCAGAUCAUUCAGGAAAUCGAAACUUUAGUAUGAUUUAAAAAUUUUUUGGCAAUCCUGAGGCCAGUGCUCUUCAAUUUUGUAUGUGGAAUGGAGGUAGCUGGGGUUCACUCUUUAAAUCCUUGAUUGAAAGUUCUCAAGAUUAUCAUAUACUUGGAUUGCUCCUGAGCCAGUCUAGCUAUUACUCCAAACUUUGGUGGCAGAAAAAUAAACUCCUUUGAACUAAGAAUGGCAUGUCCCAAAGAGGUGAUGCCCCUUCACCUGGGUCCCAGAAUAAUGGAACAAAGUUGAAGAUGACUGCAAUUGACAAUUAACAUGAAGAGAAAGAAACCUUCCUGAAUUGUGGAAAACUGGGCUGAGCUUAUUGAAACAGAGGAUCCUACAAGGUAGGGAAGAAACCACCUGCCCCUCAUGGGUUUUGGUAAGCAUGUAAUUAGGAACUCUUCCAAGCAAUGCAAAGACUUAGCCCAUUUUUGGGGUGCCUGGGUGGCUCAGUUGGUUAAGCAGCUGCCUUCAGCUC